GAUGAACGCUGGCGGCGUGCCUAAUACAUGCAAGUCGAGCGAACGGACGAGAAGCUUGCUUCUCUGAUGUUAGCGGCGGACGGGUGAGUAACACGUGGAUAACCUACCUAUAAGACUUGGAUAACUUCGGGAAACCGGAGCUAAUACCGGAUAAUAUUUUGAACCGCAUGGUUCAAAAGUGAAAGACGGUCUUGCUGUCACUUAUAGAUGGAUCCGCGCUGCAUUAGCUAGUUGGUAAGGUAACGGCUUACCAAGGCAACGAUGCAUAGCCGACCUGAGAGGGUGAUCGGCCACACUGGAACUGAGACACGGUCCAGACUCCUACGGGAGGCAGCAGUAGGGAAUCUUCCGCAAAGGGCGAAAGCCUGACGGAGCCACGCCGCGUGAGUGAUGAAGGUCUUCGGAUCGUAAAACUCUGUUAUUAGGGAAGAACAUAUGUGUAAGUAACUGUGCACAUCUUGACGGUACCUAAUCAGAAAGCCACGGCUAACUACGUG
rnacentral:rRNA from 1 species